UGGGGAUGACGUCAGAUCAGCGUGGCUCUUACGUCCUGGGCGACACUCGUGUUACAAUGGGUAGUCACAAAGGGUUGCAAUACCGUAAGGUGGAGCUAAUCCCAUAAAACUACCCCCAGUUCAGAUUGAGGGCUGCAACUCGCCCUCAUGAAGCCGGAAUCGCUAGUAAUCGUAGGUCAGCCAUACUACGGUGAAUACGUUCUCGGGUCUU
rnacentral:rRNA from 1 species